UAUGCUACAGGCGACGACGGGUAGCCGGCCUGAGAGGGCGACCGGCCACACUGGGACUGAGACACGGCCCAGACUCCUACGGGAGGCAGCAGUGGGGAAUAUUGCACAAUGGGCGAAAGCCUGAUGCAGCGACGCCGCGUGAGGGAUGACGGCCUUCGGGUUGUAAACCUCUUUCAGCAGGGAAGAAGCGAGAGUGACGGUACCUGCAGAAGAAGCGCCGGCUAACUACGUGCCAGCAGCCGCGGUAAUACGUAGGGCGCAAGCGUUGUCCGGAAUUAUUGGGCGUAAAGAGCUCGUAGGCGGCUUGUCACGUCGAUUGUGAAAGCUCGGGGCUUAACCCCGAGUCUGCAGUCGAUACGGGCUAGCUAGAGUGUGGUAGGGGAGAUCGGAAUUCCUGGUGUAGCGGUGAAAUGCGCAGAUAUCAGGAGGAACACCGGUGGCGAAGGCGGAUCUCUGGGCCAUUACUGACGCUGAGGAGCGAAAGCGCGGGGAGCGAACAGGAUUAAAUACCCUGGUAGUCCACGCCGCAAACGGUGGGAACUAGGUGUUGGGGACAUUCCACGUCGUCGGCGCCGCAGCUAACGCAUUAACCGCCCCGCCGGGGGGGAGCCCCGGGGGAA
rnacentral:rRNA from 1 species